rnacentral:rRNA from 1 species
AGUCUGGUGCCAGCAGCCGCGGUAAUUCCAGCUCCAAUAGUGUAUACUAAAGUUGCUGCAGUUAAAAAGCUCGUAGUUGGAUUUCGGUUAAUGAAAAGUUAGUCCACUUAAUAUAUAAGUGCGUACUGACGUUUUAUUUCCUUCUUUUCAGAUAUACAACUUGUUGUGUUCUGAAUCUUUUACUUUGAGAAAAUUAGAGUGCUCAAAGCAGGCGUAACCAAGCCUUUGAAUAUAUUAGCAUGGGAUAAUGGAAUAAGACUUUUUGCCUUAUUUUCGUUGGUUCUUGAGGCUAAAGUAAUGAUUAAUAGGGAUAGCUGGGGUCAUUAGUAUUUAAUUGUCAGAGGUGAAAUUCUAAGAUUUAUUAAAGACUAACUACUGCGAAAGCAUUUGACAAGGAUGUUUUCAUUAAUCAAGAACGAAAGUUGGGGGAUCGAAGAUGAUCAGAUACCGUCGUAGUCUCAACCAUAAACUAUGCCGACCAAGGAUUCGGGGGUGUUAUAUGAAUGACCCUCCGGGCACUUAUAGAGAAAUCAUAAGUAUUUGGGUUCCGGGGGGAGUAUGGUCGCAAGGCUGAAACUUAAAGGAAUUGACGGAAGGGCACCACCAGGAGUGGAAUAUGCGGUUUAAUUUGACCCAACACGGGAAAACUUACCAGGUCCAGACACAGUGAGGAUUGACAGAUCGAGAGCUCUUUCUUGAUUUUGUGGGUGGUGGUGCAUGGCCGUUUCUAGUUGGUGGAGUGAUUUGUCUGGUUAAUUCCGUUAACGAACGAGACCUUAACCUAUUAAAUAGUUACACAUACUUGGGAUUCGUCCUAAUAGUAUGUGGUUAACUUCUUAGAGGGACUCUUCACGUAAAGAGUGAAUGGAAGUUUGAGGCAAAAACAGGUCUGUGAUGCCCUUAGAUGUUCUGGGCUACACGCGUGUUACACUGAUAUAUUCAACAAGCAUUAUAAUUCCUUACCCGAUGGGGUUGGGUAAUCUUUUAAAUGUAUAUCGUGAAGGGGAUAGACCAUUGUAAUUAUUGGUCUUGAACGAGGAAUUCCUAGUAAGUGCAAGUCAUUAGCUUGCGCUGAUUACGUCCCUGCCCUUUGUACACACCGCCCGUCGCUCCUACCGAUGAAUGGUCCGGUGAGGACUCAGGAUGACCGUGGAUUUUC